UACGUAGGGUGCGAGCGUUGUCCGGAAUUAUUGGGCGUAAAGAGCUCGUAGGCGGUGCGUCGCGUCGGCCGUGAAAACCUGCAGCUUAACUGUGGGCUUGCGGUCGAUACGGGCAUCACUGGAGUUCGGCAGGGGAGACUGGAAUUCCUGGUGUAGCGGUGAAAUGCGCAGAUAUCAGGAGGAACACCAAUGGCGAAGGCAGCUCACUGGGACGGUAUUGACGCUGAGACGCGAAAGCGUGGGGAGCAAACAGG
rnacentral:rRNA from 1 species